GGAGGUAGUGACAAUAAAUCUCAAUACGAAGCCUUUGGUUUUGUAAUUGAAUUGAGAACAAUGUACAAUCGUUAUCGAUAAACAAUUGGAGGGCAAGUCUGGUGCCAGCAGCCGCGGUAAUUCCAGCUCCAAUAGCGUAUAUUAACGUUGUUGCAGUUAAAAAGCUCGUAGUUGAAGUUUAGAUAAUUUAUUGAAAGUGUUUGUAUUCGUACAUUCUACUUUUAUGUAAGUUAUCGACAUCCAGGUGGGUAUCAUAAUCUCGCAAGGGGUUAGGGUACUAGACUGGUCAUUUACUGUGAGAAAAUUAGAGUGUUUAAAGCGGACUGUUCAGUUUGAAUAGAUUAGCAUGGAAUAAUAAGAUUGGCUUUCAUAGUCGAUUUUUUGGUUUGUUUAUGAAAGCAAGAUUAAUAGGGACAGUUGGGGGUAUUCAUAUUCAAUAGCUAGAGGUGAAAUUCUAUGAUUUAUGGAAGAUGAACAAGUGCGAAAGCA
rnacentral:rRNA from 1 species